CCUCGUCUCUACUAAAAACACAAAAUUAUCCGGGCAUGGUGGCACAUGCUUGUAAUCCCAGCUACUCAGGAAGGCUGAGGCAGGAGAAUCACUUGAACCCAGGAGGCAGAGGUUGCAGUGAGCAGAGAUGGAGCCAUUGCACUCCAGCCUGAGCAACAAGAGUGAAAAAAAAAAGAAAAGAGCUAAAUUAUAUGGUGCUUUGGAAGCUGGGACCACAUGGACUCUUAAGAGGGAUGGCACCUUCUAAGAGGUUCCAAGGGCAGAAACAAGGGGCAGUUCCACUGGGUUUCAGACACAGAGAUCCCAGCCUGGAUUAUCGUGGAGGAUGAAGCUGCUCCAUCUUGGAUGCUGAUCCGCCAUGUUGUCCUCUGGUUAACCCCUGUUCUGGAAUGCCUCCUCUAAGAUUGCCACUUUAGCUACUGUGACCUUAAAUCCUGCUCUUAGAUAGAUUCACAUAGCAUUCUGCGCCUUUCCCUGAGGGGUUGACUUCAGUGGUGCCACACAUUUCUACUGAGGCAUUUAUACCUUUCUGGUCAGGUAUAUCAGCCCUGGGACUCGGGGAUAACUGACCGACAGCCGCCUGGCUUCUGUUUCUAAGUCACUAUUAAAUGUUUCUUUCAGAGUAACUGGA
rnacentral:lncRNA from 1 species